rnacentral:rRNA from 1 species
GACGAACGCUGGCGGCGUGCCUAAUACAUGCAAGUAGAACGCAGUUGCGAACGGGUGAGUAACGCGUAGGUAACUGCCUCAUAGCGGGGGAUAACUAUUGGAAACGAUAGCUAAUACCGCAAACUGUGAGAUGGACCUGCGGUGUAGUAGCUAGUAGUUGAGGUAAAGGCUCACCAAGGCGACGAUACAUAGCCGACCGGAGAGGGUGAUUGGCCACCGUGGGACUGGGACUGGGCCCAGACUCCUACGAGAGGUAGCGGUAGGGAAUCUUCGGAAAUGAACGGGAGUCUGACCGAGCAAUCCCGCGUGAGUGAAGAAGGUUUUAGGAUCGUAAAGCUCUGUUGUUAGAGCAUCGGUAACUAGCCAGAAGGGGACGGCUGACUACGUGCCAACAGCGGCGGUAGUAC